GGUUAAGCGACUAAGCGUACACGGUGGAUGCCCUGGCAGUCAGAGGCGAUGAAGGACGUGCUAAUCUGCGAAAAGCGUCGGUAAGGUGAUAUGAACCGUUAUAACCGGCGAUGUCCGAAUGGGGAAACCCAGUGCAAUUCGUUGCACUAUCGUUAACUGAAUACAUAGGUUAACGAGGCGAACCGGGGGAACUGAAACAUCUAAGUACCCCGAGGAAAAGAAAUCAACCGAGAUUCCCCCAGUAGCGGCGAGCGAACGGGGAGCAGCCCAGAGUCUGAAUCAGCUUGUGUGUUAGUGGAACGGUCUGGAAAGUCCGACGGUACAGGGUGAUAGUCCCGUACACCAAAAUGCACAGGCUGUGAACUCGAAGAGUAGGGCGGGACACGUGGUAUCCUGUCUGAAUAUGGGGGGACCAUCCUCCAAGGCUAAAUACUCCUGACUGACCGAUAGUGAACCAGUACCGUGAGGGAAAGGCGAAAAGAACCCCGGCGAGGGGAGUGAAAAAGAACCUGAAACCGUGUACGUACAAGCAGUGGGAGCACCUUCGGGUGUGACUGCGUACCUUUUGUAUAAUGGGUCAGCGACUUAUAUUCUGUAGCAAGGUUAACCGUAUAGGGGAGCCGCAGGGAAACCGAGUCUUAACUGGGCGUUAAGUUGCAGGGUAUAGACCCGAAACCCGGUGAUCUAGCCAUGGGCAGGUUGAAGGUUGGGUAACACUAACUGGAGGACCGAACCGACUAAUGUUGAAAAAUUAGCGGAUGACUUGUGGCUGGGGGUGAAAGGCCAAUCAAACCGGGAGAUAGCUGGUUCUCCCCGAAAGCUAUUUAGGUAGCGCCUCGUGAACUCAUCUUCGGGGGUAGAGCACUGUUUCGGCUAGGGGGUCAUCCCGACUUACCAACCCGAUGCAAACUACGAAUACCGAAGAAUGUUAUCACGGGAGACACACGGCGGGUGCUAACGUCCGUCGUGAAGAGGGAAACAACCCAGACCGCCAGCUAAGGUCCCAAAGUCAUGGUUAAGUGGGAAACGAUGUGGGAAGGCACAGACAGCCAGGAUGUUGGCUUAGAAGCAGCCAUCAUUUAAAGAAAGCGUAAUAGCUCACUGGUCGAGUCGGCCUGCGCGGAAGAUGUAACGGGGCUAAACCAUGCACCGAAGCUGCGGCAGCGACACUAUGUGUUGUUGGGUAGGGGAGCGUUCUGUAAGCCUGCGAAGGUGACCUGUGAGGGUUGCUGGAGGUAUCAGAAGUGCGAAUGCUGACAUAAGUAACGAUAAAGCGGGUGAAAAGCCCGCUCGCCGGAAGACCAAGGGUUCCUGUCCAACGUUAAUCGGGGCAGGGUGAGUCGACCCCUAAGGCGAGGCCGAAAGGCGUAGUCGAUGGGAAACAGGUUAAUAUUCCUGUACUUGGUGUUACUGCGAAGGGGGGACGGAGAAGGCUAUGUUAGCCGGGCGACGGUUGUCCCGGUUUAAGCAUGUAGGCUGGUUGUCCAGGCAAAUCCGGAUAAUCAAGGCUGAGGUGUGAUGACGAGGCACUACGGUGCUGAAGUAACAAAUGCCCUGCUUCCAGGAAAAGCCUCUAAGCAUCAGGUAACAUCAAAUCGUACCCCAAACCGACACAGGUGGUCAGGUAGAGAAUACCAAGGCGCUUGAGAGAACUCGGGUGAAGGAACUAGGCAAAAUGGUGCCGUAACUUCGGGAGAAGGCACGCUGGUGUGUAGGUGAAGUCCCUGCGGAUGGAGCUGAGACCAGUCGAAGAUACCAGCUGGCUGCAACUGUUUAUUAAAAACACAGCACUGUGCAAACACGAAAGUGGACGUAUACGGUGUGACGCCUGCCCGGUGCCGGAAGGUUAAUUGAUGGGGUUAUCCGUAAGGAGAAGCUCUUGAUCGAAGCCCCGGUAAACGGCGGCCGUAACUAUAACGGUCCUAAGGUAGCGAAAUUCCUUGUCGGGUAAGUUCCGACCUGCACGAAUGGCGUAAUGAUGGCCAGGCUGUCUCCACCCGAGACUCAGUGAAAUUGAACUCGCUGUGAAGAUGCAGUGUACCCGCGGCAAGACGGAAAGACCCCGUGAACCUUUACUAUAGCUUGACACUGAACAUUGAGCCUUGAUGUGUAGGAUAGGUGGGAGGCUUUGAAGCGUGGACGCCAGUCUGCGUGGAGCCAACCUUGAAAUACCACCCUUUAAUGUUUGAUGUUCUAACGUUGGCCCCUUACCGGGGUUGCGGACAGUGUCUGGUGGGUAGUUUGACUGGGGCGGUCUCCUCCCAAAGCGUAACGGAGGAGCACGAAGGUUAGCUAAUCCUGGUCGGACAUCAGGAGGUUAGUGCAAUGGCAUAAGCUAGCUUGACUGCGAGCGUGACGGCGCGAGCAGGUGCGAAAGCAGGUCAUAGUGAUCCGGUGGUUCUGAAUGGAAGGGCCAUCGCUCAACGGAUAAAAGGUACUCCGGGGAUAACAGGCUGAUACCGCCCAAGAGUUCAUAUCGACGGCGGUGUUUGGCACCUCGAUGUCGGCUCAUCACAUCCUGGGGCUGAAGUAGGUCCCAAGGGUAUGGCUGUUCGCCAUUUAAAGUGGUACGCGAGCUGGGUUUAGAACGUCGUGAGACAGUUCGGUCCCUAUCUGCCGUGGGCGCUGGAGAAUUGAGGGGGGCUGCUCCUAGUACGAGAGGACCGGAGUGGACGCAUCACUGGUGUUCGGGUUGUCAUGCCAAUGGCACUGCCCGGUAGCUAAAUGCGGAAGAGAUAAGUGCUGAAAGCAUCUAAGCACGAAACUUGCCCCGAGAUGAGUUCUCCCUGAGACUUUAAGUCUCCUGAAGGAACGUU
rnacentral:rRNA from 1 species